rnacentral:lncRNA from 1 species
GUCUCUAUACCCACUCCAACAUAACCCAAAACUCACAGAACCCCUAAAAAACGCGAUUGUUCUUCUUCUCCGAAUUUUGUUCAAAUCCGAGCGAGUGAAGCCCAAAUCCUAAUUCAUGCGUCCCUCCUUAUCUCAUCUCACCAUUUCUAACGAUUUCUGACACUAAAAAUGCUUCCUCCCUUCACUCUCUCAACUCAGAGAUUUAGCACGCGAUUGGAAGGUCCUAGAGACGAAUCGUUGGAUGAGGAUGAGUCAUUGGAUUGAAUUUGUUCAACCCUCCAUUCACUCUCUCAACUCAGAGAUUUAGCACGCGAUUGGAAGGUCCUAGAGACGAAUCGUUGGAUGAGGAUGAAUCGUUGGAUUGACUUCGUUCAAUCCAAGCCCUAUUUUCAUCAGGGGUUCGUUCUAUAAAGGACGGGAUCCGAUUUUGAGAAGGGGGUUUUUUUUGGAGAGAAGAAGAUCUGAAGGCAGAUUCAAGAGGAGUAAAAUUCUAGAGCUUAGUGUUCUUCACAUCUAUUAUUGCUUUUUUUCUUCAUUCGUAGUGUUAAUUCUAAAAAAACAUAUACAGAAAUGUUUAAAGUCCUGUGAAUCUAUUGUUGCUUGGUUCACUGUCCACCCGCUUCGAAAUACAUGAAUUAUGUCCUAAAAGUCAUUGGAAUUCGUUGUUGAUCGAGGCAUUGAUUUGUGGCUGCUGUUGCAUUGCAUCGAUUUCAAGUGUUGGGACUCCUUCACUUUUUUUUCAGGUUUACCUCUGCUUCUUCUAUUAUUUCUAUUGUGAAGUGAAUCCUAGAUGGCCCUGGACCGAUUGUUAAAAUGAAUUCAGUUGUGAUAAUAGAUGAGGCUUGUAUGGUUACCCUCGACUUCAUUUAUUGUUAUGCUUUCAACGUUUCCCAUGAAUUCAUGUGUAGUGAGUCAGUUUCUGAAUAGACGAGGAGUAACAUUUGUUUGGUUUCAUCAUCGUAUUCGUGUUUGUACUGACUUGUAUUAUCCUUCAGCUCGUACCUUCUUCGAAUUUGAUCCCUACUGAUGUUGCAAAUUUGGUAUAAGAUUGUUUUAGUAUCAUCCUUCAGCUCAUACCUGCUUCGAAUUUGAUCCCCUGCUAAUGUUGUAAAUUGGGUAGAUUGUAGCUUUAUAGUGCCAAGGUUGUUUCCUGUUGCAUCUGUUCAAAAAUAAGCUUUGACGAGAAUUCAUCGCCGUUGUUUGAUUCCUGAAUGAGUGUCUAAGUCGUCUUUGAAAUGCUGAGAAUUGAACACCAUCUUAUAACCCCCUAUUCUAACUGUCACCACCUCAUAUCUUAUUUUCUCUUUGUUAAUUUUGGUUUCAGUCGAGAUAGGCUGUUUAUUUGACCAAAUAUCAGUGGUUUCUCGCUAGGCGAUGAUCAUUCCUUAAUAAUUUGAACUUGAAGCUGUCCUAAUCUACUUUGUUGAUGAAAAUUUAAGCACGCUUCCUCGAGCUGGUUCUGCCUGUGUAUGUGUAGUCUAUUUUUUGUGCUGGAAAUCAUUUGAAUCAUUAGCUAUUCGAUCUAUCGUCGCCUUAACUUCGUGACCCUGGUGUUAAGUUUGGUGUUUGUAAAGCUGUUAGCUAAUAUUAUUCUCUGAGUUUCUUCCUCUUCAGUCUUAAUGAAGCUGUCUCAUGGCAUUACUUGCUUGCCUGCUGUUGUAGCUGGUGAUUUAUUCAUCAAUUAUCAACCCUCUCCAUCCUUCUGCCAUAGAACACAUACAGUGCAACUCUCAUUCUGUUAGUAAAGCCCCAUCGUCACCAUCUUCCUUCAUUCUCUCAGCGUAAAUUCAUGAAUGUGCUACCAAUCAAAAUGGAUCAAAUUGUGUCUCCAAAUCUAAAUCUCAUUCGGAGUUGUUGUUGUUGGUAUAUCGUGAUUAUGAUUUGAAAAAUCCCCUUUAAUUGUGAAAUUUGAAGCAUAUGUAGCAAACAAGGGUCAUUUCUCUUCUCUUAGUAUAUUUUCUGACAUGAACAGCUAGUGUAACUGUCUUCAAUAAGUUCUGCAGAUUCGUUUGGAUUGCUAUGUUUUAUCUGAUAAAUUUGGUGUUCCUAAUGUGUUGACUGGCAAGGUUUGUGAUGGUUUUAAUAUUGUUCCACUGGUUCAUUUGGCAUUUAUUAGAAUUGUUUGACUAGUAUCAAAAGUAAGAUCCAAUGUUGCUAUCUCACUAUUGUUCUGGCUCUACAUUAGUUAUAGUGGAUUAAUGACUAGUUGGACUGUAUGCCCAGUUUGGACCAUAAAUAGUUUAAUAAUUUUCAAAUGAAUAGGUAGUUUGGAUCGCCUAAUUGGAUUUCGGAUUUAUUGGUAUAGCAUGAGCCAAAUAUUGGGCUCACUUGGUAAGAACCAAGUUAAUUCAAGACCCCACUUAAUUAAUUUUAACCCUUAUAAAUUGAGGUGAGCCAUAUUGGGUAAUAUAAAUAGUUUAUGGCCCUCAUGAAUUAGUUGAAUACCUUUACUUUUAGAAUUGAGGUGCGCCGUGCCAAACAAAAAAUAAUCAUUGCGGGGCCCUCGCUUUAUUAAAUCUCGAAUUGAUCUUUAGAUUCUGAGGCAUGCCAUUUGGUAAAUUUCAUGGGCCUCGCAAAGUUGCGAACGUACAAUUGCUUUAGGCGCGUUAGUUUAAUAAUCUACCUUUCCUAAAUUGGGGUGCGCAUUUAUGUGACCCAAAUACAAAUCUCAAUGAAGUUGGAGUGUGUCAAAAUCCAUGUGUGCAUUUAUGUGACUUGGUUUGAGGCAUAUUUUAACGACGUUGUAAUUCUCUUUAAAAUAAUGAUAAAAGCGGUUUAAAGUCAAAUGUCAUAAGUUAAAACAGUUUUAAAAUCAGAUAAUUUAAGCCAAGUAUGACAAUUGAGUGACCGAGCUAGAACCACGGAACUUGGGAAUGCCUAACACCUUCUCUCGGGUUAACAGAUUUUCUUACUCGGAUUUCUAGUUCGCGGGCUGUUAAACAUAGUCACUCUUUCCUCGAUUCGGGAUUCUAAUUGGUGACUCGGGACACCAUAAAUCUCCCGGGCGGCGACUCUGAAAUUAUUUAAAAUAAUUGAAUCCCGUUUCGAUUGUCCUUUAAUUGGAAAAACUUCCUUAUCUACGUCCUUCGCCGGGUUGUGGAUAUCCAAAAGAAGGUGUGACAGCUCUGGCGAUUCUGCUGGGAAAAUUUUUCCUCUAGAAUCUCUGGUUCAGGGUUCAAGAAUUCGAGCUUAGAAUCAUUGUUGUAUUUGGCUUUGUUCAUUAUUUGAUUUUACAUGUUGACUUAAUGUGCAAAAUGAUGCUUUAACCGCUUUGAUAUUAUUUGAAUUGUACAUAAACUGUUACGAAACCCUUCUCUCUUUAUCCCCGGGGAUGUGCUCGCUGGUCGAGACUCCCUAUUCUGUUAUUGUCAUGCCUUAAAAUAAGAAAGAUGCUCGGACAAGUUAUAAAGCCGGACGAUCUUGCGGGUCCCCGGUACGUAGCCCCCUCCCCGACUCAAGUUAUCCUCUCGGGUACACAGUCUAGAAAACAUACCCAGGCUUAAACGUAGAAUAACAAAACCUCAUGUCGGAUCCCUAGUAGGAACGCUUAUCUGCAUCAUACAUUUGACUUAGGGGACUCAACAUAAUGGUUAGGUCUGCUAGGACAGGUGUACCCAAAAUAACGGACCAUCUUGGUGCAUCAUAUGUGCCACAUGUUGCAUUCAUUCAAGGGCAGAAAGGUCAUUUGACGGACCAAUGAUAGCUGAGGGUAAAUGAAAAAAAAAAGAGAAAAAUAAUGAAAAGAAAAGAGGGUGAAGGGUGAAAAUAAAGCAAGCAGGAUUUAGUUAUGUUUUUGUUAUAUUUUUAUUAAAAAGGAGACAAAGGAUAUGUGAAAAAUUCAAAAAAAAAAGAGAAUAUUUCGCACUUUUUAUUAUUUCCUGAAAAUAAAAAAAGAAGAAGAGAAAAUCCAAAAAUAGUUUACAUAUUUCAUCGUUUUUCAAAAAGAGACAAAAGAAAAUAUUUUCUUUACAAAAUUAGUUGUUUUUUUAUUAUUUCUUGCCCGUAUCCAAUUUACCGGAACUACGCAAACCUGAUUCUCGUCUUUCGAGGCGUGAUACGUAGACAACCCACAUAAGGUUCGAUUUUCCUUGUAAAUCUUUGAUUCUUGGCUUUGCAGGGUCAUAACCAGAUUUUGCACUUCUAGCUACUUUUAGCUACAUAGGUUAGUUUUAGAAUUCAGAAGUUGCUUGUUGGAAGUUGUGUGAAUUGAGUUGUGUCAAUGGACUCUACUGUUGAAAUUCUUAGAGUUCAAGUUGGAAUUCUCUUGUCAAACAUCUUUUAUGCCGGCGAAAGUUCUGUUGAGAUCAGUCUUUGUUUGUUGGAGUAUUGUUUGGUAAUUUUAAUUCAAACUUCUUUUAUGCUGGCGAAGGUUCUGUUGAGAUCAGUCUUUGUUUGCUGGAGCAUUGUUUGGUGAUUUUAAUUCAAUCUAUGAACUUUUUGUGGGUCAAUUUUUGAAAGAAAAUCCUGCAUUAAAUACCAAUUCUUUUUGUGCUAAGACUAUGGAGUUUUGAAACUUGUCUUGUUGAAGUUUGCCAGUUUUGUGAAGUUUUUGGAGUAAAUUGAUAGAUGAAAUUCUCCUAGUUUGAACUUGUUACCACUGGUUUCUUAUAGCUGUUAUUAGUGUUGAGUUUAAUAGAGGAGAUUCAGUUGGACUAGAGAUUGAGCAGCUUGAAUUGUUAUUUGGUUGAGCAUACAGUAAGCUUACUCUGCCAAAAUUUUGUGUCCAUUGAGAUUGGUGUCAAGUUAAGGCAGUGAUAGUUUGAAAUCUUGUUUUUACUUAUAAAAAGUUCUCUUUGUUGAAUUGAAUGCUCUUGUUACAUAAACUAUUGCCCAGUUGGUUAGAACGUGCUGACAGAAGUUGUAUGUUUGCUGGAAAAUAAUUUGCUGCUUGUUUUCUGUUGCUGUAAAGGAAUUCAUACUUGCUGUUCACAGCCCUGCAUUGUUCAUUUUUCGCUCAACAAUGAAAAUUUCUGCACUUCAUUAAUUUUUUUGUUGUUGUAAAGGAUUUCAUACUUACUGUUCACAGCCCUCAUUGUUCAUUUUUGCUCAACAAUGAAGAUUUUCACAUUUCUUUAAUUGAUUGUUGUUACUAUAGUUUUUCUAAACAGUUGAGAGAAUUUUGCAAAAGUUUUAGCUUCAGUUAACUCAACUGCGUUGCUUCAGUUUAUAUGCCAACAAUACACUAUUGACAUUCAAGUUUUGAGCUGUUUUUUUAAAGUAGAUCCCGUACUAUUCAACUAUACUUUGUGGUUAUUCUAACUCAAUAUUACUGUGAUUCUAAUGCUUUGUGUCUACAGUUGAGGUCAUCAUUCCGGGCUGAAAAUUUUUGUUCCUAUUGCGAUCCCGUACUAUUCAGCUAUACUUUGUGGUUAUUCUGACUCAAUAUUACUGUGAUUCUAAUUAUUUGUUUCUACAGUUGAGGUCGUCAUUCUGGUCUGAAUGUUUCUGUGCCUAUUGUUGCUGAAUUUAAUGCUCAAGGUGUUGCUGAAGUUUGAGUUUUGAGAAGCAAUUGAAUAGCGAACCUGCGAGUUUAUUUGAAUUGUAGAAUUUUGCAUUUAAAUGAAAGUUGUUGAUGUAAUACAAGUUUCCUACGCAUUAUUUGUAUUUUUCUACAAUAUUUUAUAAACCUGAAACUGGGUGUGGACGUUAGAACUUGUUUGAAAAAUUUUGAACUCGAAUAAGAGUGUUUUGAACUGUUAUUGAAGGUUGUUGAAACAACCUUGAAAAUGUGCACUUUUUGUACUAGUUGGGUAGUGAGUGCAAGUUGAUUUUUCUGCACAGUUGAGUUCAGUUGAUUAUAAAUGUUUUGGUGAUUCAGUUAACAGGGAAUUAUAAGCUGAAAAAUAUUGCUUAAUGUUACUUUGUUUGUUGUUGCUAGUUUAGUUUGGUGUUAGUUGGUCCAACAGACUAUAAAUGUGAAUCUGUAGAGUUGUCUGUAGCACAAUUUUUUGCUUGGCUCUAAAUUUUAAUUACAUUUUGAGUUUGAUCCUGCAUAGUUGUUGAGUUUCAAUUAGCAGUCAAGUUACAAUUGUGUUAUUUGGAUUUUCACUCACUUUUUAUCAUGUAAAUAUAUUUAUUAAGUUUAAUCCCGAUAUUUUAGUCUUUGUUUCACUUUGUAGUUGGUUUAUUUAACAAAAUCUAAAAAAACUACAAAAAGAGUAGAGUUUCCAAAAUAUAGUUUUACCUAGUAUAUUGAUUUUUUUAGUUGUAGGCUUUAGGAAAUACUUAGUAAUAGUAUUAAUUAAUUUCUUUAAAUAUAGUUACUAUAUUUUUCAGUCUGAUUUUUGCUAUUUUAAUUUAGUAGUAUUUAAUCUUUAGUUUUGUUAAUUUGGAUUGUCCUUAAAACAAAUUAAAAAUGAUGAAAAAGAAGAAGAGAAAGUAGAAAGUAAGGAAUGAAAAGAAAAAGAUUCGUUUUUUUGGGAUUACUAUUUUUUAGGUGAUUUGUUGUGGUUUGCAAAUGUUUAUGGAAAUUACUUAAAAUGCAUUAAGGCUGCAACUUUGUCAGCUAUUGUGAGGCUGUCCAAAAUUGCAGAAUUGACCAAUUUUUGCAUAUGUGACCAUCUUUUACAUAUAAUUUGGUCGUCAAGUAGUAGCUUUUUUUUUAAAUCGAGGUCAAGAGUUAGAUAAAGCUGGAUUUGUAUCUUUGUUGCUUAGUAUCAGAUGGUUUUGGUGGCAUUGAAAUGGUUUCAAGUUGAUUUUCAAAAAAAACGAAGAGAAAAUGUUUUUUUGUUUGUUAGAGCUUUCAUGGUUUGUGUUGUAUAAAAAUAAACAAAAAUGAGUUAGUUUAUUUGCUCCAUUCUCGAUCUUCCAGAACUAUGCAAAGAUCUGAUUCAUGCGGGGUCAUGAUACGUAGGCAACCUACAUAGGGUUCGAUCAAAUCAUUUUGUUUUAUAAAAAAAGAGAGAUAAGGAUAAAAAUAAAAAUAAUUACAUAGGGUUCGAUCGAACCGUUUUGUUUUAUAUAAAAAAGGAGAUAAAGAUAAAAAUCGACUAAAAAAGAGAGAAAGGAAAAGAGAAAAAAAGAAAAAGGGUGUAAUUAUAGGACAUGAAAAUUAGAGGAAAAAAAGAGAGUGAUAAAUAGAAAAAGAGGACGGAAAAUAAUAAAGCAAGUGCUAGAAAAGCAAAGAAAGAGAGAGGUUGAAAUGAACAAAUUGGGAUGAUGUCGUAUGACCUUCAUACCCUCGAAGUCAUGUUAGAACCGGUAACUGUGACUAGGUGCAUUGCACGCAAUGCGAUAUUUUAGUUGUUUAAUGCCCUAACGCUAACAUGAUGGCUUCAUUUUUUAUACUCAUAGCAAAAGGGUGUACGCAAUGUGAUAUUUUAGUUGUUUAAUGCCCUAACGCUAACAUGAUGGCUUCAUUUUUUAUACUCAUAGCAGAAGGGUGGUUGGUUUGUGGUUUUUAAAGUAGUAACUCUCCUCCAUAACACAAAGUCAAAGGCAACGGCGGACAACGAUAGAACUGAGUUGGUCGAUACCGGGGCCCGAAAGCAGUUGAUUGACCAGGACAAUGGGUUAAUUGAAGAGGUAAAGAUGCUGAAACAACACAUGGAAGAAAUGUAUAAGGCUUGGAUGACGGGGACAACACCACCCCUGCCACCACCCAGCUGCUUAGAUGCUACCCUUCUCCAGACUCCGAUCAUGGUUUCGAACGAUCCUCCAUACUCUCUAGAUGCACCCGCUCACUACAGUUUUUCCAACCACCCAGUAGCUCCAUCACUUGCCCUCCAACUAUCCCCAACAAUGAAUAUUUACUCAGAGCUCACGAUAUCCAAUACUAUCCUAUAGAGGUGGCCCACAAGGUUCCUUACUCGUACAAGCAAAGCCUGCAGGAUGAGCCUUAUGUUAAGAAUGAAAAGUUCACAGGAAAAGAAGGGCGAAAUGGAAUACCCUAGAGGCUGGAAGGGUUCAACGUGCCAAAAUUUAACUUGUAUGAUGGGUGUGGAGAUCCGGUAGCUCGCCUGAGGGUUUAUUGCAGUGAAAUAAGAGGCGUUGGGGAGAAAGAUAACCUGUUGAUAGCAUAUUUUAGCAAGAGCCUGACUGGGGCAGGAUUGGACUAGUAUACUCGUCAAGAUGUCGAUAAAUGGCCUACAUUGGGUGACAUGGCGCAAUAUUUUGUUCGAUACUUUCAAUGCAAAUCCAAUGUUACCCCAGACCGCGCUUCCAUAUAUAAAAUGAAAAAGAAGCCAUAUGAGAGCUUUAAGGAGUUUGGGCUCAGAUGGAGGGCACAAGCUGCUCAAGUCAGUACCUCGAUUGGUGAAAAGGAAAUGGUAGAGCUUUUCCUACAAGCCCAGGAGCCCACCUACUUCGGUAAUUUGAUCCAGGCUUUUGGAAAAUAUUUCAAUGAGGUGUUAAAAAUGGGGGAGCAAAUAGAAGAGAGAAUCAAGUCAGGAAAAAUCAUGAGUGGUUCGAAAGAUAUUCAGAAUAUCCAAGUAAGCUUCGUCGGAAGAAAUAGAAAUAGAAAAGAUGAUCAACAUUCCCAGCCUCAACAUCAUCCUCGUGGACAUCCUUGUGUACCGAAUAGUCCUCCAUAACGCUGCUUCUCCCCACAGAACUCAAAAAAUCAUACAUCACUUUCCCCAUACCCAGCUCUACAGAAUGCUUAUCCACCCCCAUGAGCAUACCGAAAACCUCUUGGAUCAGGUUUCCAGCCCAGCCAAGCAUGUAAGAAUGAGAGACUAUUGAAAAAAGAAAAGGCUUUCACCCCUAUCGGAGUAUCAUAUGCCAGUUUGUUCCAAAGGUUGAAGCAAUUGGACAUGUUGAAGCCGACUCAGAUAAAAAUGCCAAACCCUCUGUCAAAGAAGUUUGAUGUUUCUCAAAGGUGUGCAUAUUGCUUAGAUUCCCCGGGGCAUGACACAAGAAGUUUUAUGUUUCCCAUAGGUGCACGUAUUGCUCAUAUGCCCAGGGACAGUACAUAGAGAAGUGCUGGAGUCUAAAAAAUAGCAAUUCACAAGCUUAUUGAUGCAGGUGACAUUGCCGUGCAAAAUCCGGACGCAGCAGACACUAGCAAAAGUCCAUCGCAUGUGCGUAAUGAGAUGCACAUGCUGGAAUAUGAGAAUUCUUUCGAGAGCCCCGGAGGCACGAGUGCUGCUAAGCUUUCAGCCCUAUCAAAUGUUGAUCUUCAGAACGAGCCGGCGAAAGGAAUCCAAAAGCAAUCUCCUAAGAACACUAUGACGAAGGUUUGUGAAGUGCCUAAUGUUAUUGACGUGGAACCUAAUGGCUAAUAUGUCGUGAGGAGUAAUUGGGAAGACACUCCAUUUCUUAGUCAGCUAGAGAGGAGUUUUGAUGGUUUAUUUUGUUGUCAGGGUUAUUUUCAGGGUUGUAAUCUGGAUAUUGUCUUGUGAUUCAAAUCCUUCUAUCCUAUCAUUUUUCUCAGUUUUGUUUAGUGUCGUCUAGGUUCGUUCCAGGGUUUUAACCCCAAUCUUUUUACUUGUUUGUUGUCCAAGAUCUUUCACCAUCUGUCUAACACAACUUUCUACUUUCCGUUAUUUCUAUUCAUUUGGUUUAGUUUUCUUUUCUUUUUACUAUUCUUUCCAUGUUGGCUUUAAUGACAUGAAAUGCAUGCAUAUCCACAGGCCUGGUCUUAAAAGAUUACUCAUAAAGCAAUAGAGACACUUGAGAGAAAUAAGAAUAGAUUUGGACCCUUUGAGAUCUUUCGAAGCCCGAACCACGUGAAACAUGGGCAGACAGAACAUGAAGAAAUCCUGAAAUCAAGUUUACCAAACCGGCAGGGACCAUUCAUUGUAGCUGGAGUGUUGUCCAAUGGUGCAUUAUAUUUGACAGACGAGGAAGGAAAAUGUGUAGGAAUGGCUAUCAAUUCUGACAUAGUCGUGAGAUACUAUGUAUGAUUCCGUUUACUGAUUGUACUUGCUUGUCUUGGCAUAUUUUGAAAAUUGAAAUGGCGAAGAAAUUUUAUUCUGCUAUCUUAAUACUCUAUCCCUUGCUAACCUCUUUGAGCUUUAGUUAUUUCCUUUCACACCCCUCUUUCGGAAUCAGUAACAAAAGUCAGAAACGCAAGUGUGAGAAGGCAGUAAAACGAAAGUAAAGGAAAGAACGAAAAAAGAAAAAGGAAAAAAGAAAAAAAAGAAAAAGAGAAAAAGGAAAAAAAAGAAAAAAAAGAGAAAAAAGAAAAGAGAAAAGAGAAAAGGAAAAAGAAACAAAGAAAAAGAAAACAAAACAAAGAAAAAAGAGAGAAGAAAACAGAAAAAGGGAGAAGAAAAACAACAAAAACAAGGAAUCGGUAUGUAACUACGUUUGACCUGAUUCCUUUUAAGGAUACGUGGGCAACCUCACGGUUCGGUCUCAUUAAAAUAAAAAUCCAAAAGUCCCCAAGCAAGAAAUUGGGGGUAGAAGUUGUGGUUCUUGUAAGAAUUUGAUUCCGAAAGUUGUAGUUUUGAACCCAUUUAAAUUGUUUUGAGCCUUUGAUACCCUUUAUUUCUAACCCUAGCCAAAAUCCCACGUUACGGUCCAAAGAAAGACCUUCUGAUCAGUCUUCAAUAGAUGCCAAGUUGAGCAAGUAGAGGUGAUUCAUGUCAAGGGCAACACUUCGAUCCAAUCAGGAAAGAUAAUAAAAAUGAGUAAGUCUUAUUGGUGAAAACCCUCAUGGGCAUCGUAAGGCGACGGGAGCUGAGAGAAAUAAAAAUGAGAGAGUCUUAUUGGUGGAAAUCUGCAUGGGCACCUUGAGGCGACUUUAAGGCGACGGGAGUUGAGAGAAAUAAAAAUGAGAGAGUCUUAUUGGUGGAAAUCUGCAUGGGCACCUUGAGGCGACUGUAAGUCAAGAGAAAGAACAAAGUAAGAGAUGUUUAAUGGUGAAAACCAUUUGGGUGCUACAAGUCAAAUAAGGAUUGUGAAUCAGAUUGGAUAAUCCGAGCACUGAAGCCCAGCUUCACGGUCUGGGGGUAUAACAAGAGUUGAACAUCACAUUUGCUUAACAGAAUAGGCCGUAGGUGCAUGUCAUGGUCAUUAGAGUUGGUACCCGCAUUUUAUAGGUUUCUGCUUUUUAGUUUUUUGGUUAGGAAUCAUCUCCUUUCAUUGUCCUCUACUUUGUUCUUUUUGUCUUGUUUAUUCCCUCCUUUUGAGUCUGUUGGGUCAAAACAAGUGAGAAAUAACUACAAAAUCUGCCACCAACUUUCUAAUUGCACAAAACAGGAUCUGGUUAUCACAUCCAAGUGUCAUAAGUUAGAAAAACAUCAUCAAAAUCUUCUACCAACUUUCUAAUUGCACAAAACGGGAUCUAGUUAUCACAUCCAAGUGUCAUAAGUUAGAAAAACAGCAAGCACACUAGCGGGUAACAUUCAACAUGCUUCAGGAUUCGUUUGAAAUACAAAGGCUUGGUAUAUAUCAAUUCAUGGACAAUGAAAUAGAAUGAGGGAUAGGGUGAACGGAGCAAAAGUGCUCCAAGAAGAAAUUGAAGUUAUCAUGGCUAGCGAUGGAAUAGUAGACCUUAAGGUCAGAGCUAGUGAUUUGAGUCAGGAAAGAACGUCAGAUACAAUGUGGUUGGUAAUUAUGCUUUAGGGAUCAAGUGAAACACAAGGGCUUGGCAGAUGUCGGUUCAGGAACAAUGCAACAGAUGGAAGGUAUUGGGUUCGAACGAGAAUAGGUAUUUUCUGGGUUAAGUUUAACAAACAAAGCACUUGGUCAAGGGGCAAAUAUGGUCUUUAAAUGAAAAUAAAUCACCAUGGCAAGUGAAGGAGCAACAGACCUCAAGGUCAAGGCCAGUGGUUCAAGUCAAUAAAAAAACAGAAUACACAUGGAGUGGGGGCAAGGGACGUGCUUUAGGAUUCAUGUGGGAAACAAAGGCUGGGAAGAUGUCAGUUCAUCAGCAAUGCAACAAAUAGAGGAUAUUGGGUCUGAACGGAGAAGAGGUAUUUUCUGUGAUAAGGGUGACAGAGGAGUUGGUCAGCUAAUAAGCAAGCCAUGUCUUUUAAGAUGAAAUCAAGCCUGCCAUGGCAAGUGAAAAAACGCAACACGAGAAUGGGGAAGGCCGCAAGGGUCAGCCAAGCAUCGUAAACUGGCCAGGUAACCUCAGGAAAGGAUGUAAGAAUUUUAUCAAAGGGUCGCAAUGCAACACAAAGAUGAGAAGCAGAGUGAAGGUACAUAGGUCAGAGGGUCAGCCAAGCAUAAUAUAUUGACUUGGCAAUCACGAGAAAGGUGCAAGGAUUCUGGCAAAAGGGCUAGAAAUGUAACACAAUUAUGGGGAGCAAAGUAAAGUCGUAAAGGUUAGAGGGGUCAGCCAACCAACACAAUUUGGUCAACUUUGGAACUAUGAUCGUACUUAGCAUAAAUCACCUCCCAAACUAUUACUUUUCAACCAAAUGGUUCAUCGAUAUCCAAUAUAUCUCUAAAACUCUGGGCAUUGUUUCGAUUGUUAGACGCUUAGCCAAAAAUGCUUCAUCCCAUAUUAUCACCUUUGUUUUCCUUAUAAAUUUAGUACCACUGCUUUCUUUGAUAUAUCAGUGAUGGUUAUUAAGUUAUUUGAAGAGGUGUAUCAAAUCUAGAGUGAGUUGUACGACCUCAUGAUAAAAUCGUUAUUGGUACAUCACUUGUUCUUAUUUCUAACAAUAUCAUGUCUCUUGAUCUCACAUGUGCAAGUAAUGCAUGACAUACGAAUAUAAUUUCGAUUCCGCCGGAAGAAUAUACAAAUGAUAAUUCCACUAUACCAGAGUCAAUUUUUUAUAAUAUAGUUGUGAGCAUGCGAUUUUUGCCUAUACGAAUUACUCCCAUAAAUUCAAAACGAAAUAAUUUUGUUUGUUUAUUUGCAAUUUUAAUUUUUCGUGGCAUUAUUCUGUUAAUGGUUUGAAUUUUGUGCAUAACGAAAAUACAAAAAUACAUAAGGCAUGUGCACUUAGGAGUAAUUUUACAUUUUUAAAGAAAUUAAUUAGCAAUUGGGAAAGGAAAUUCAAAACUUAAUUUGCACUUAAGAUCGAUUUCAGGUAAUUCUUUUUCUCUUAAUAUUUUUUAUUAUUUAUUAUGUGAUAACAAUUAUUGUAUGACUAACUAGGUUAUUUUUAGGUUAUUAGGAAUUUUUAGGUUUUAAAUAAUUUUAAAAAAAUAAAAAAAGGAGAGAAAAUCUGGAACUAAAUAAAAAGGACCUAAUUGGCCCAUAUGCACAAUUAAAUCAGCCCAAGCCCUUUUCUCCUUCUAAAUCCGCCAUACCCACACCAAAUGACCCGACCUGACCCUGUCUCUAUACCCACUCCAACAUAACCCAAAACUCACAGAACCCCUAAAAAACGCGACUGUUCUUCUUUUCCGAAGAACACGUGAAUCUAUCCCCAAAUUUUGUUCAAAUCCGAGCGAGUGAAGCCCAAAUCCUAAUUCAUGCGUCCCUCCUUAUCUCAUCUCACCAUUUCUAACGAUUUCUGACACUAAAAAUGCUUCCUCCCUUCACUCUCUCAACUCAGAGAUUUAGCACGCGAUUGGAAGGUCCUAGAGACGAAUCGUUGGAUGAGGAUGAGUCAUUGGAUUGAAUUUGUUCAAUCCAAGCCCCAUUUUCAUCAGGGGUUCAUCUCUAUAAAGGACGGGAUCCGAUUUUGAGAAGGGGGUCGUUUUUGGAGAGGAGAGGAUGUUUUCAUCAGGGGUUCGUUCUAUAAAGGACGGGGUCCAAUUUUUAGAAGGGGGUUUUUUUUGGAGAGAAGAGGAUCUGAAGGCAGAUUCAAGAGGAGUAAAAUUCUAGAGCUUAGUGUUCUUCACAUCUAUUAUUGCUUUUUUUCUUCAUUCGUAGUGUUAAUUCUAAAAAAACAUAUACAGAAAUGUUUAAAGUCCUGUGAAUCUAUUGUUGCUUGGUUCACUGUCCACCCGCUUCGAAAUAAAUGAAUUACGUCCUCAAAGUCAUUGGAAUUCGUUGUUGAUCGAGGCAUCGAUUUGUGGCUGCUGUUGCAUUGCAUCGAUUUCAAGUGUUGGGACUCCUUCACUUUUUUUCAGGUUUACCUCCGCUUCUUCUAUUAUUUCUAUUGUGAAGUGAAACCUGGAUGGCCCUGGACGGAUUGUUAAAAUGAAUUCAGUUGUGAUAAUAGAUGAGGCUUGUAUGGUUACCCUCGACUUCAUUUAUUGUUAUGCUUUCAACGUUUCCCAUGAAUUCAUGUGUAGUGAGUCAGUUUCUGAAUAGACGAGGAGUAACAUUUGUUUGGUUUCAUCAUCGUAUUCGUGUUUGUACUGACUUGUAUUAUCCUUCAGCUCGUACCUUCUUCGAAUUUGAUCCCUACUGAUGUUGCAAAUUUGGUAGAUUGUAGUUGUAUGGAAGAUUGUUUUAAUAUCAUCCUUCAGCUCAUACCUGCUUCGAAUUUGAUCCCCUGCUAAUGUUGCAAAUUGGGUAGAUUGUAGCUUUAUAGUGUCAAGGUUGUUUCCUGUUGCAUCUGUUCGAAAAUAAGCUUUGACGAGCAUUCAUCGCCGUUGUUUGAUUCCUGAAUGAGUGUCUAAGUCGUCUUUGAAAUGCUGAGAAUUGAACACCAUCUUAUAACCCCCUAUUCUAACUGUCACCACCUCAUAUCUUAUUUUCUCUUUGUUAAUUUUGGUUUUUAGUCGAGAUAGGCUGUUUAUUUGACCAAAUAUCAGUGGUUUCUCGCUAGGCGAUGAUCAUUCCUUAAUAAUUUGAACUUGAAGCUGUCCUAGUCUUCUUUGUUGACGAAAUUUUAAGCACGCUUCCUCGAGCUGGUUCUGCCUGUGUAUGUGUAAUCUAUUUUUUGUGCUGGAAAUCGUUUGAAUCAUUAGCUAUUCGAUCUAUCGUCGCCUUAACUUCGUGACGCUGGUGUUAAGUUUGGUGUUUGUAAAGCUGUUAGCUAAUAUUAUUCUCUGAGUUUCGUCCUCUUCAGUCUUAAUGAAGCUGUCUCAUGGCAUUACUUGCUUGCCUGCUGUUGUAGCUGGUGAUUUAUUCAUCAAUUAUCAACCCUCUCCAUCCUUCUGCCAUAGAACACAUACAGUGCAACUCUCAUUCUGUUAGUAAAGCCCCAUCGUCACCAUCUUCCUUCAUUCUCUCAGCGUAAAUUCAUGAAUGUGCUACCAAUCAAAAUGGAUCAAAUUGUGUCUCCAAAUCUAAAUCUCAUUCGGAGUUGUUGUUGUUGGUAUAUCGUGAUUAUGAUUUGAAAAAUCCCCUUUAAUUGUGAAAUUUGAAGCAUAUGUAGCAAACAAGGGUCAUUUCUCUUCUCUUAGUAUAUUUUCUGACAUGAACAGCUAGUGUAGCUGUCCUCAAUAAUUUCUACAGAUUCGUUUGGAUUGCUAUGUUUUAUCUGAUAAAUUUGGUGUUCCUAAUGUGUUGAUUGGAAAGGUUUGUGAUGGUUUUAAUAUUGUUCUCCACCGGUUCAUUUGGCAUUUAUGUUCUGCAGAUUCGUUUGGAUUGCUAUAUUUUAUCUAAUAAAUUUGGUGGUCUUAAUGUGUUGAUUGGCAAGGUUUGUGAUGGUUUUAAUAUUGUUCUCCACUGGUUCAUUUGGCAUUUAUUGGAAUUGUUUGACUAGUAUCAAAAGUAAGAUCCAAUGUUGCUAUCUCACCAUUGUUCUGGCUCUACAUUAGUUAUUAGUUAUAAUGGAUUAAUGACUGGUUGGACUGUAUGCCCAGUUUGGACCAUAAAUAAUUUAAUAAUUUUCAAAUGAAUAGGUAGUUUGGAUCGCCUAAUUGGAUUUCGGAUUUAUUGUUAUAGCAUGAGCCAAAUAUUGGGCUCACUUGGUAAGAACCAAGUUAAUUCAAGACCCCACUUAAUUAAUUUUAACCCUUAUAAAUUGAGGUGAGCCAUAUUGGGUAAUAUAAAUAGUUUAUGGCCCUCAUGAAUUAGUUGAAUACCUUUACUUUUAGAAUUGAGGUGCGCCGUGCCAAACAAAAAAUAAUCAUUGCGGGGCCCUCGCUUUAUUAAAUCUCGAAUUGAUCUUUAGAUUCUGAGGCAUGCCAUUUGGUAAAUUUCAUGGGAUCAUUGCUGGGCCCUCGCUUUAUUAAAUCUCGAAUUGAUCUUUAGAUUCUGAGGCAUGUCAUUUAGUAAAUUUCAUGGGCCUCGCAAAGUUGCGAAUGUACAAUUGCUUUAGGCGUGUUAGUUUAAUAAUCUACCUUUCCUAAAUUUGGGUGCGCAUUUAUGUGACCCAAAUACAAAUCUCAAUGAAGUUGGAGUGUGUCAAAAUCCAUGGGUGCAUUUAUGUGACUUGGUUCGAGGCAUAUUUUAACGACAUUGUAAUUCUCUUUAAAAAUAAUGAUAAAAGCGGUUUAAAGUCAAAUGUCAUAAGUUAAAACAUGUUUUAAAAUCAGAUAAUUUAAGCCAAAUAUGACAAUUGAGUGACCGAGCUAGAACCACGGAACUUGGGAAUGCCUAACACCUUCUCUCGGGUUAACAUAAUUUCUUACUCGGAUUUCUAAUUUGCGGAAUGUUAAACAUAGUCAUUCUUUCCUCGAUUCGGGAUUCUAACCGGUGACUCGGGACACCAUAAAUCUCCCGGGCGGCGACUCUGAAAUUAUUUAAAAUAAUUGAAUCCCGUUUCGAUUGUCCUUUAAUUGGAAAAACUCCCUUAUCUACGUCCUUCGCCGGGUUGUGGAUAUCCAAAAGAAGGUGUGACAGCUCUGGCGAUUCUGCUGGGAAAAUUUUUCCUCUAGAAUCUCUGGUUCAGGGUUCAAGAAUUCGAGCUUAGAAUCAUUGUUGUAUUUGGCUUUGUUCAUUAUUUGAUUUUACAUGUUGACUUAAUGUGCAAAAUGAUGCUUUAACCGCUUUGAUAUUAUUUGAAUUGUACAUAAACUGUUAUGAAACCCUUCUCUCUUUAUCCUCGGGGAUGUUCUCGCUGGUCGAGACUCCCUAUUCUGUUAUUGUCAUGCCAUAAAAUAAGAAAGAUGCUCGGACAAGUUACAAAGCCGGACGAUCUUGUGGGUCCCUGGUACGUAGCCCCCUCCCCGACUCAAGUAUCCUCUCGGGUACACAGUCUAGAAAACAUACCCAGGCUUAAACUUAGAAUAACAAAACCUCAUGUCGGAUCCCUAGUAGGAACGCUUAUCUGCAUCAUACAUUUGACUUAGGGGACUCAACACAAUGGUUAGGUCCGUUAGGACAGGUGUACCCAAAAUAACGGACCAUCUUGAUGCAUCAUAUGUGCCACAUGUCGCAUUCAUUCAAGGGCAGAAAGGUCAUAUGACGGACCAAUGAUAGCUGAGGGUAAAUGAAAAAAAAGAGAAAAAUAAUGAAAAGAAAAGAGGGUGAAGGGUGAAAAUAAAGCAAGUAGGAUUUAGUUAUGUUUUUGUUNNNNNNNNNNNNNNNNNNNNNNNNNNNNNNNNNNNNNNNNNNNNNNNNNNNNNNNNNNNNNNNNNNNNNNNNNNNNNNNNNNNNAAAAAAAGACAAAGGAUAUUUGAAAAAUUCAAAAAAAAAAAAAAGAAUAUUUCGCACUUCUUAUUAUUCCCUGAAAAUCAAAAAAGAAGAAGAGAAAAUCCAAAAAUAGUUUACAUAUUUCAUCGUUUUUCAAAAAGAGACAAAAGAAAAUGUUUUCUUUACAAAAUUAGCUGUUUUUUUUAUUAUUUCUUGCCCGUAUCCAAUUUACCCGAACUACGCAAACCUGAUUCUCGUCUUUCAGGGCUUGAUACGUAGCCAACCCACAUAAGGUUCGGUUUUCCUUGUAAAUCUUUGAUUCUUGGCUUUGCGGGAUCAUAGCCAGAUUUUGCACUUCUAGCUACUUUUAGCCACAUAGGUUAGUUUUAAAAUUCAGAAGUUGCUUGUUGGAAGUUGUGUGAAUUAAGUUGUGUCAAUGGACUCUACUGUUGAAAUUCUUAGAGUUCAAGUUGGAAUUCUCUUGUCAAACAUCUUUUAUGCUGGCGAAAGUUCUGUUGAGAUCAGUCUUUGUUUGUUGGAGUAUUGUUUGGUAAUUUUAAUUCAAUCUAUGAAUUUUCCUUGGGACAAUAUUUGAAAGAAAAUCUUGCAUUAAAUACCAAUUAUCUUUGUGCUAAGACUGUGGAGUUUUGAAGCUUUUCUUGUUGAAGUUUGCCACUUUUGUGAAGUUCUCCAAUCAAUUUCUUGUUAAAUUGAUAGCUGAAAUUCUCCUAGUUUAAACUUGUUAACACUGGUUUCUAAUAGCUGUUAUUAUUGUUGAGUUUAAUAGAGGAGAUUCAGUUGGACAAGAGAUUGAGUAGCUUGAAUUGUUAUUUGGUUGAGCAUACAGUAAGCUUACUCUGCCGAAAUUUUGUGUCCAUUGAGAUUUGUGUCAAGCAGUGAUAGUUUGAAAUCUUGUUUUUACUUAUAAAAAGUUCUCUUUGUUGAAUUGAAUGUUCUUGUUACAUAAACUAUUGCCCAGUUGGUUAGAACCUGCUGACAGAAGUUGCAUGUUUGCUGGAAAAUAAUUUGGUGCUUGUUUUCUUUUGCUGUAAAGGAUUUCAUACUUGCUAUUCACAGCCUUGCAUUGUUCAUUUUUCGCUCAACAAAUUUUUUGUUGUUGUAAAGGAUUUCAUACUUACUGUUCACAGCCCUCAUUGUUCAUUUUGCUCAACAAUGAAGAUUUCCACAUUUCUUUAAUUGAUUGUUGUUACUAUAGUUUUUCUAAACAGUUGAGGGAAUUUUGCAAAAGUUUUAGCUUCAGUUAACUCAACUGUGUUGCUUCAGUUUAUAUGUCAACAAUACACUAUCGAAAUUCAAAUUUUGAGCUUUUUUUUAAAAAAAGUAGCUUCCGCACUAUUCAGCUGUACAUUCAGGUUAUUCUGACUCAAUAUUGUUAUGAUUCUAAUUCUUUGUUUCUACAAUUGAGGUCGUCAUUCUAGGCUGAAAAUUUCUGUGCCUAUUGCUGCUGAAUUUAAUGAUCAAGGUAUUGCUAAUGUUUGAGUUUUGAGAAGCAAUUGAAUAACGAACCUGCCAGCUUGUUUGAGUUCUAGAAUUUUGCAUUUAAAUGAAAGUUGUUGAUAUAAUACAAGUUCCCUAAGCAUUAUGUAGAAUUUUGCAUUUAAAUGAAAGUUAUUGAUGUAAUACAAGUUUCCUAAGCAUUAUUUGUAUUUCUCUACAACAUUUUGUAAACCUAAAACUGGGUGUGGACAUUAGAACUUGCUUGAAAAAUUUUGAACUCGAAUAAGAGUGUUUUGAACUGUUAUUGAAGGUUGUUGAAACAACCUUGAAAAUUUGCACUUUUUGUACUAGUUGUGUAGUGAGUGCAAGUUGAUUUUUCUGCACAGUUGAGUUCAGUUGAUUACAAAUGUUUUAGUGAUUCAGUUAACAGGGAAUUAUAAGCUGAAAAAUAUUGCUUAAUGUUACUUUGUUUGUUGCUGCUAGUUUAGUUUGGUGUUAGUUGGUCCAACAGGCUAUAAAUGUGAAUCUGUAGAGUUGUCUGUAGCAUAUUUUUUUGCUUGGUUCUAAGUUUUAACUAGAUUUUGAGUUUUAUCCUGCACAGUUGCUGAGUUUCAAUUACCAGUCAAGUUUCAAUCGUACUAUUUAAGUUUUCACUCACUUUUUAGCAUAAAAUUGUAUUUAUUAAGUUUAAUCUCGAUAUUUUAGUCUAUAUUUCACCAUCCUGCAUAGUUGUUGAGUUUCAAUUAGCAGUCAAGUUACAAUCGUGUUAUUUGGAUUUUCACUACGUUUUAUCAUGUAAAUAUAUUUAUUAAGUUUAAUCCCGAUAUUUUAGUCUUUGUUUCACUUUGUAGUUGGUUUAUUUAACAAAAUCUAAAAAAACUACAAAAAGAGUAGAGUUUCCAAAAUAUAGUUUUACCUAGUAUAUUGAUUUUUUUAGUUGUAGGCUUUAGGAAAUACUUAGUAAUAGUAUUAAUUAAUUUCUUUAAAUAUAGUUACUAUAUUUUUCAGUCUGAUUUUUGCUAUUUUAAUUUAGUAGUAUUUAAUCUUUAGUUUUAUUAAUUUGGAUUGUCCUUAAAACAAAUUAAAAAUAAUGAAAAAGAAGAAGAGAAAGUAGAAAGUAAGGAAUGAAAAGAAAAAGAUUCGUUUUUUUGGGAUUACUACUUUUUAGGUGAUUUGUUGUGGUUUGCAAAUAUUUAUGGAAAUUACUUAAAAUGCAUUAAGGCUGCAACUUUGUCAGCUAUUGUGAGGCUGUCCAAAAUUGCAAAAUUGAUCAAUUUUUGCAUAUGUGACCAUCUUUUACAUAUAAUUUGGUCAUCGGGUAGUAGCUUUUUUUUUUUAAAACGAGGUCAAGAGUUAGAUAAAGCUGGAUUUGUAUCUUUGUUGCUUAGUAUCAGAUGGUUUUGGUGGCAUUGAAAUGGUUUCAAGUUGAUUUUCAAAAAAAACGAAGAGAAAAUGUUUUUUUGUUUGUUAGAGCUUUCAUGGUUUGUGUUGUAUAAAAAUAAACAAAAAUGAGUUAGUUUAUUUGCUCCAUUCUCGAUCUUCCAGAACUAUGCAAAGAUCUGAUUCAUGCGGGGUCAUGAUACGUAGGCAACCUACAUAGGGUUCGAUCAAAUCAUUUUGUUUUAUAAAAAAAGAGAGAUAAGGAUAAAAAUACUACAUAGGGUUCGAUCGAACCGUUUUGUUUUAUAUAAAAAAGGAGAUAAAGAUAAAAAUAGACUAAAAAAGAGAGAAAGGAAAAGAGAAAAAAAGAAAAAGGGUGUAAUUAUAGGACAUGAAAAUUAGAGGAAAAAAGAGAGUGAUAAAUAGAAAAAGAGGACGGAAAAUGAUCAAGCAAGUGCCAGAAAAGCAAAGAAAGAGAGAGGUUGAAAUGAACAAAUUGGGAUGAUGUCGUAUGACCUUCAUACCCUCGAAGUCAUGUUAGAACCGGUAACUGUGACUAGGUGCAUUGCACGCAAUGCGAUAUUUUAGUUGUUUAAUGCCCUAACGCUAACAUGAUGGCUUCAUUUUUUAUACUCAUAGCAAAAGGGUGGUUGGUUUGUGGUUUUUAAAGUAGUAAGUCUCCUCCAUAACACAAAGUCAAAGGCAAUGGCGGACAACGAUAGAUUGAGUUGGUCGAUACCGGGGUCCGAAAGCAGUUGAUUGACCAGGACAAUGGGUUAAUUGAAGAGGUAAAGAUGCUGAAACAACACAUGGAAGAAAUGUAUAAGGCUUGGAUAACGGGGACAACACCACCCCCGCCACCACCCAGCUGCUUAGAUGUUAUCCUUCUCCAGACUCCGAUCAUGGUUUCGAACGAUCCUCCAUACUCUCUAGAUGCACCCGCUUUUUACAGUUUUUCCAACCACCCAGUAGCUCCAUCACUUGCCCUCCAACUAUCCCCAACAAUGAAUAUUUACUCAGAGCUCACGAUAUCCAAUACUAUCCUAUAGAGGUGGCCCACAAGGUUCCUUACUCGUACAAGCAGAGCCUGCAGGAUAAGCCUCAUGUUGAGAAUGAAAAGUUCACAGGAAAAGAAGGGCGGAAUGGAAUACCCCAGAGGCUGGAAGGGUUCAACGUGCCAAAAUUUAACUUGUACGAUAGGUGUGGAGAUCCGGUAGCCCACCUGAGGAUUUAUUGCGGUGAAAUGAGAGGCAUUGGAGAGAGAGAGAGAUGACCUGUUGAUAGCAUAUUUCAGCAAAAGCUUGACUGGGGCAGCUUUGGAUUGGUAUACUCGUCAAGAUAUCGAUAAAUGGCCUACGAAAUAAGAGGCGUUGGGGAGAAAGAUAACCUGUUGAUAACAUAUUUUAGCAAGAGCCUGACUGGGGCAGGAUUGGACUAGUAUACUCGUCAAGAUGUCGAUAAAUGGCCUACAUUGGUUGAGAUGGCGCAAUAUUUUGUUCGAUACUUUCAAUGCAAAUCCAAUGUUACCCCAGACCGCGCUUCCCUAUAUAAAAUGAAAAAGAAGCCAUAGGAGAGCUUUAAGGAGUUUGGGCUCAGAUGGAGGAUACAAGCUGCUCAAGUCAGUACCUCGAUUGGUGAAAAGGAAAUGGUUGAGCUUUUCCUACAAGCCCAGGAGCCACCUACUUCGGUAAUUUGAUCCAGGCUUUUGGAAAAUAUUUCAAUGAGGUGUUAAAAAUGGGGGAGCAAAUAGAAGAGGGAAUCAAGUCAGGAAAAAUCAUGAGUGGUUCGAAAGAUAUUCAGAACAUCCAUGUAAGCUUCGGCGGAAGAAAGAGAAAUAGAAAAGAUGAUCAACAUUUCCAGCCUCAACAUCAUCCUCGUGGACAUCCUUGUGUACCAGAUAGUCCUCCAUAACGCUGCUUCUCCCCACAUAACUCAAAAAAUCAUACAUCACUUUCCCCAUACCCAGCUCUACAGAAUGCUUAUCCACCCCCAUGAGCAUACCGAAAACCUCUUGGAUCAGGUUUCCAGCCCAGCCAAGCAUGUAAGAAUGAGAGACUAUUGAAAAAAGAAAAGGCUUUCACCCCUAUCGGAGUAUCAUAUGCCAGUUUGUUCCAAAGGUUGAAGCAAUUGGACAUGUUGAAGCCGACUCAGAUAAAAAUGCCAAACCCUCUGUCAAAGAAGUUUGAUGUUUCUCAAAGGUGUGCAUAUUGCUUAGAUUCCCCGGGGCAUGACACAAAGAAGUGCUGGUAUGUUUCCCAAAGGUGCACGUAUUGCUCAGAUGCCCCGGGACAUUACAUAGAGAAGUGCUGGAGUCUAAAAAUAGCAAUUCACAAGCUUAUUGAUGCAGGUGACAUUGUCGUGCAAAAUUCGGACGCAGCAGACACUAGCAAAAGUCCAUCGCAUGUGCGUAUUGAGAUGCACAUGCUGGAAUAUGAGAAUUCUUUCGAGAGCCCCGGAGGCACGAGUGCUGCUAAGCUUUCAGCCCUAUCAAAUGUUGGUCUUCAGAACGAGCCGGCGAAAGGAAUCCAAAAGCAAUCUCCUAAGAACACUGUGACGAAGGUUUGUGAAGUGCCUAAUGUUAUGGAACCCAAUGGCUAAUAUGUUGUAAUGAGUAAUUGGGAAGACACUCCAUUUCUUGGUCAGCUAGAGAGGAGUUUUGAUGGUUUAUUUUGUUGUCAGGGUUAUUUUCAGGGUUGUAAUCUGGAUAUUGUCUUGUGAUUCAAAUCCUUCUAUCCUAUCAUUUUUCUCAGUUUUGUUUAGUGUCGUCUAGGUUCGUUCCAGGGUGUUAACCCCAAUCUUUUUACUUGUUUAUUGUCCAAGCUCUUUCACCAUCUGUCUAACAUAAUUUUCUACUUUCCGUUAUUUCUAGUCAUUUGGUUUAGUUUUCUUUUCUUUUUACAAUUCUUGUAAUUCUCUACUUUCCUAUAUUUCUAGUCAUUUGGUGUAGUUUUCUUUUCUUUUACAAUUCUUUUCCUCGUUGGCUUUAAUGACAUGACAUGUAUGCAUAACUCCAGGCCUGGUCUUAAAAGAUUACUCAUAUGGCAAUAGAGACACUUGAGGGAAAUAAGAACAUAUUUGGACCCUUUGGGAUCUUUUGAAGCCCGAACCAUGUGAAACAGGGGCAAACAGAACAUGAAUAAAUCCUAAAAGCAAGUUUACCAAACCGGUAGGGACCAUUUGUUGUAGCUGGAGUGUUGUCCAAUGGUGCAUUAUAUUUGACAGAUGAGGAAGGAAAAUGUGUAGGAAUGGCUAUCAAUUCUGACAUAGUCGUGAGAUACUAUGUAUGAUUCCGUUGACUGAUUGUACUUGCUUGUCUUGGCAUAUUUUUAAAAUUGAAAUGACGAAGACAUUUUAUUCUGCUAUCUUAAUAAUCUAUCCCUUGAUAACCUUUUUGAGCUUUAGUUAUUUCCUUUCACACCCCUCUUUCGGAAUCAGUAACAAAAGUCAGAAACGCAAGUGUGAGAAGGCAGUAAAACGAAAGAAAAGGAAAGAACGAAAAAAGAAAAAGGAAAAAGAAAAAAAAGAAAAAGAGAAAAAGGAAAAACAAGAAAAAAAAGAGAAAAACAAAGAGAAAAGAGAAAAGGAAAAAGAAAGAAAGAAAAAAGAAAACAAAACAAAGAAAAAAGAGAGAAGAAAACAGAAAAAGGGAGAAGAAAAACAACAACAAAAACAAGGAAUCGGUAUGAACUACGUUUGACCUGAUUCCUUUUAAGGAUACGUGGGCAGCCUCACGGUUCGGUCUCAUCAAAACAAAAAUCCAAAAGUCCCUAAGCAAGAAAUUGGGGGUAGAAGUUGUGGUUCUUGUAAGAAUUUGAUCCGAAAGUUGUAGUUUUGACCCCAUUUAAAUUGUUUUGAGCCUUUGAUACCCUUUAUUUCUAACCCUAGCCAAAAGCCCACGUUACUGUCCAAAGAAAGACCUUCUGAUAAGUCUUCAAGAGAUUCCAAGUUGAGCAAGUAGAGGUGAUUCAUGUCAAGGGCAACACUUCGAUCCAAUCAGGAAAGAUAAUAAAAAUGAGUAAGUCUUAUUGGUGAAAACCCUCAUGGGCAUCGUAAGGCGACGGGAGCUGAGAGAAAUAAAAAUGAGAGAGUCUUAUUGGUGAAAAUAUGCACGGGAACCUUGAGGCGACUGUAAGUCAAGAGAAAGAACAAAGUAAGAGAUGUUUUAUGGUGAAAACCAUUUGGGUGCUACAAGUCAAAUAAGGAUUGUGAAUCAGAUUGGAUAAUCGGAGCACUGAAGCCCAGCUUCACGGUCUGGGGGGUAUAACAAGAGUUGAACAUCACAUUUGCUUAACGGAAUAGGCCGUAGGUGUAUGUCAUGGUCAUUAGAGUUGGUACCCGCAUUUUAUAGGUUUCUGCUUUUUAGUUUUUUGGUUAGGAAUCAUCUCCUUUCAUUGUCCUCUACUUUGUUCUUUUUGUCUUGUUUAUUCCCUCCUUUUGAGUCUGUUGGGUCAAAACAAGUGAGAAAUAACUACAAAAUCUGCCACCAACUUUCUAAUUGCACAAAACAGGAUCUGGUUAUCACAUCCAAGUGUCAUAAGUUAGAAAAACAUCAAGCACACUAGCGGGUAACAUUCAACAUGCUUCAGGAUUCGUUUGAAAUACAAAGGCUUGGUAUAUAUCAAUUCAUGGACAAUGAAAUAGAAUGAGGGAUAGGGUGAACGGAGCAAAAGUGCUCCAAGAAGAAAUUGAAGUUAUCAUGGCUAGUGAUGGAAUAGUAGACCUCAAGGUCGGAGCUAGUGAUUUGAGUCAGGAAGAAUGUCAUAUACAAUGUGGUUGGUAAUUAUGCUUUAGGGAUCAAGUGAAACACAAGGGCUUGGCAGAUGUCGGUUCAGGAACAAUGCAACAGAUGGAAGGUAUUGGGUUCGAACGAGAAUAGGUAUUUUCUGGGUUAAGUUUAACAAACAAAGCGGUUGGUCAAGGGGCAAAUAUGGUCUUUAAAUGAAAAUAAAUCAUCAUGACAAGUGAAGGAGCAACAGACCUCAAGGUCAAGGCCAGUGGUUCAAGUCAAUAAAAAAAAUAGGUAUUUUCUGGGUUAAGUUUUACAAACAAAGCGGUUGGUCAAGGGGCAAAUAUGGUCUUUAAAUGAAAAUAAAUCAUCAUGACAAGUGAAGGAGCAACAGACCUCAAGGUCAAGGCCAGUGGUUCAAGUCAAUAAAAAAACAGAAUACACAUGGAGUGGGGGCAAGGGACGUGCUUUAGGAUUCAUGUGGGAAACAAAGGCUGAGAUGACGGCAGAUGUCGGUUCAGGAACAAUGCAACAGAUGGAAGGUAUUGGGUUCGAACGAGAAUAGGUAUUUUCUGGGUUAAGUUUUACAAACAAAGCGGUUGGUCAAGGGGCAAAUAUGGUCUUUAAAUGAAAAUAAAUCAUCAUGACAAGUGAAGGAGCAACAGACCUCAAGGUCAAGGCCAGUGGUUCAAGUCAAUAAAAAAAAUAGCAUACACAUGGAGUGGGGGCAAGGGACGUGCUUUAGGAUUUAUGUGGGAAACAAAGGCUGGGAAGAUGUCAGUUCAUCAGCAAUGCAACAAAUAGAGGAUAUUGGGUCUGAACGGAGAAGAGGUAUUUUCUGUGAUAAGGGUGACAGAGGAGUUGGUCAGCUAAUAAGCAAGCCAUGUCUUUUAAGGUGAAAUCAAACCUACCAUGGCAAGUGAAAAAACGCAACACGAGAAUGGGGAAGGUCGCAAGGGUCAGCCAAGCAUCGUAAACUGGCCAGGUAACUUCAAGAAAGAAUGUAAGAAUUUUAACAAAGGGUCGCAAAUGCAACACAAAGAUGAGGAGCAGAGUGAAGGUACAUGGGUCAGAGGGUCAGCCAAGCAUAAUAUAUUGACUUGGCAAUCACGAGAAAGGUGCAAGGAUUCUGGCAAAAGGGCUAGAAUGUAACACAAUUAUGGGGAGCAAAGUAAAGCCGUAAAGGUUAGAGGUGUCAGCCAACCAACUCAGGCAACUCAUCAUCGAUAUGGAAAUAUAAACACAAUGGAACAUGACAAUGAGGAGGUUGCUUACAACAAGAAUACCGCAAGCCAACCACCACUUUUCAAACUUACAAGUUUUCUUUGAUUGACACAGGUGUAGAAAAUUUUGGAAGAGCCUAAGGGAGGCCGUCCACAGGAGAAGGCAGGCACACGGUAGGUAUGAUCAAAAUCUCAGAACCCACCUAGAAGUGGCACUCAGUUAAAAUUCCAAAGGGACAUAGUCCGUUAUAAACACCCUCCCUAACAAAGAGCACAAUGUGACAAACUUUAACUAGCAAACCCCAAUAGAAACAACCGAGGUUUAAGAGAGGCAUAGAAGUUGAGAUGGAACGCAGUCUAAAACUCAAAGCGGUAUGAGUAACAUGGGCAAGCACCAACACCUCCCCAGUAAGAGUCGCAGAAGCAACCAGAAAUUAGAACUGGCAUUUAGGUUGGAACCUUCAUGAGCCUCGUGGAGAAUGAGACUCAUUUUAAGGCUAGGAGUAAUCAUGGAUAACAAGUGACAUAAAAUGACUUGCACGUCGAGGUAGGAUUCAGUUAGAGUUUUCAGUAUCCUCCUGAAAAUGGGACUUAACUUAGAACAACAAACAGUUGGAUGGAAUGGUCAAACCCAAAUACUUCCUCAACCAGAGUCAACAAGAGUCAUCAGAACCCUCCUGAAAAUUGGGACUUAGAUUAGAUAUUUUCCCAACAAGAGUCGAUAAGAAUUGUCGGGACCUUCCUGAAAAAUGGGACUUAAGAGCCAAAAUCUUCCCAUUCAGAGUCAACAAGAGUCAAUAAGAGUCAUCAGGACCCUCCUGCAAAAUGGGAUUUAGAGGGAAAAUUUCAAAUUUCCCCAGCUGAGUCAGCAAGAGUCAUCAGGACCCCUCCAGAAAAUGGGACAUAGAUUAGAUACUUCCCCAGCAAGAGUCAAUAAAAGUCAUCAAGACCCUCCUAAAAUGGGAUUCAAAGGGAAAAUUUCAAAUUUCCCCAACUGAGUGGGAUGUAGCCCUAAAUUCUAACCCCCAGUUGUCACCUUUUUGUCAUCAAAUUAGGAGUUGUCAGGACCUGCUUAGAUAAUGGUGAGGUAGUUUUAAUCAUUAGUCACCAGCAAAUCCCCAGCAUAUAGAACUCAUAGCAAUACAUGGAGGAAAAUAAUACCUCUUCAGAAACACAGCAUAGUCUUGAAAUUGUCAGCAAUUGAGAAUUGUCAGGACCAGUCUUGGUAAUCAGGCGCCCACCUGUAGAACAAGAGAUUAUUUUUCAAAAUUUCAGAUUUUGUAAUCAGGAAUCCACCUGUAGAACAAGGGAAUAUUUUUCAACUGUCAAGUGUUGAUAAUCAAGCACCCACCUGGAGAAAAAUGGAAAACAAUUCGAGUUCAGCAAUCAGGCACGCACCUGGAGAACGAGGGAAUAUUUCUCGGAAAUCAAGUUUUGAUGAUCAGGCGCCCACCUGUAGAACAAGGGAAUAUUUUUCAAAAUCCAAGUUUUGAUGAUCAGGCGCCCACCUGUAGAACAAGGGAAUAUUUUUCAAAAUCCUAGUUUUGUAAUCAGGCGCCCACCUGUAGAACAAGGAAAUAUUUUUCAAAUUUUCAAGUUUUGGUAAUCAGUAGCCCAUCUGUAGAACAAGGGAAUAAUUUUCAAAUUUCAAGUUUUAGUAAUCAGGCGUCCACCUGUAGAACAAGGAAAUAUUUUUUAAAAAAUUCAAGUUGUUGAUAAUCAGGCGCCCACCUGUAGAACAACGAAAUAUUGUUCAAAACUUCAAGUUUAGUAAUAAGGCGUCCACCUGUAGAAUAAGGGAAUAUUAUUAAAAAAUUUCAAGCUUUUGUAAUCAGGCGCCCACCUGUAAAACAAGGGAAUAUUUUUCAAGAUUUCAGAUUUUGUAAUCAGGUGCUCACUCAAGUGUCAAGUGUUGAUAAUCAGGCACCCACCUGGAGAACAAGGGAACACAAUUCGAGUUCAAAAAUCAGGCACCCACCUGGAGAACGAGGGAAUAUUUCUCGGAAGUCAAGUUUUGUUGAUCGGAUGCCCACCCACAGAACAAGGGAAGAUCUUUCGAAUUGCGAGUCCAGGAAACCAGGCGCCCACCUGUAGAACGAGGGAAUGCUUUCAACGGAGUACAUCUUAAGACAAAAAAUUCGACAUCAAACAUAGAGGAAGAGAAAUGCCAGACAACAAGGCAACAAGAAGUUCCACAGUAAGAAAUGCGAGACAACAAGGCAACAAGGAUUCAGAGCAAGUCGGAAAAUAUAGAUAGGUUUUCUUGUAAUCCAUAGUUCAUAGCUUAGUCUAGCUUCUUUAUUUUUCACAGAUUUAGAGCAAGUCGGAAGAUAUAGAUAGGUUUUCUUGUAAUCUAUAGUUCAUAGCUUAGUCUAGCUUCUAUUUUUUUUAUAAUGGUGUAAUUAGGGGGUCUAGCAGCAGUUAUAGCAGCAGCAACGGUAAAAUCACAGCCUCGGUAGUCGCAGCUACCAAACACUCCUGAACUACACUGACCUGAUUCCUCUUCAGCCGAGGAUAUGUAGGCAACCUCUGAAGUAGGAUGCGGUCAAACUUUUCAAAAAUGCUUCUCAUGGAAGGUUCAAACAGGCAAAAAUCGCUCGUGUUUGCUCACUUAUCUUUGCAGAAAGCUCUUCGUGUUUCCGCGCAAAGAGGGGCAGCUGUGAGCAUGUGAUUUUUGCCCUAUACGAAUUACUCCCAUAAAUUCAAAACGAAAUAAUUUUGUUUGUUUAUUUGCAAUUUUGAUUUUUCGUGGCAUUAUUCUGUUAAUGGUUUGCAUUUUGUGCAUAGCAAAAAUACAAAAAUACAUGAGGCAUGUGCACUUAGGAGUAAUUUUACAUUUUUUUUAAAGAAAUAAAUUAGCAAUUGGGAAAGGAAAUUCAAAAAUGGCUUAAUUUGCACAUAAGAUCGAUUUCAGGUAAUUCUUUUUCUCUUAAUCUUUUUUUAUUAUUUAUUAUGUGAUAACAAUUAUUGUAUGACUAACUAGGUUUUUAGGUUAAUUAGGAAUUUUUAGGUUUUAAAUAAUUUUAAAAAAAAUUAAAAAGCGGAGGGAAAAUGUGGAACUAAAUAAAAAGGACCUAAUUGGGCCAUAUGCACAAUUAAAUCUGCCCAAGCCAUUUUCUCCUUCUAAAAUCCACCAGACCCACACCCAAUGACCCGACCCGACCCGACCCGACCAUGUCUCUAUACCUACACAUACAUAACCCAAAACUCACAGAACCCCUAAAAAACGCGACUGUUCUUUUUGUCCGAAGAACACGCGAAUCUAGCCCCAAAUUCUGUUCAAAUCCGAGCGAGUGAAGCCCAAAUCUGUAAUUCACACGUCCAUCAUUCUCUCAUCUCACCAUUACUAACGAUUUCUGACACUAAAAAUGCUUCCUCCCUUCACUCUCUCAACUCAGAGAUUUAGCACGCGAUUUGAAGGUCCUAGAGACGAAUCGUUGGAUGAGGAUGAGUCAUUGGAUUGAAUUUGUUCAAUCCAAGCCCCAUUUUCAUCAGGGGUUCAUCUCUAUAAAGGACGGGAUCCGAUUUUGAGAAGGGGGUCGUUUUUGGAGAGGAGAGGAUCUGAAGGCAGAUUCAAGAGGAGUAAAAUUCUAGAGCUUAGUGUUCUUCACAUCUAUUAUUGCUUUUUUUCUUCAUUCGUAGUGUUAAUUCUAAAAAAACAUAUACAGAAAUGUUUAAAGUCCUGUGAAUCUAUUGUUGCUUGGUUCACUGUCCACCCGCUUCGAAAUAAAUGAAUUACGUCCUCAAAGUCAUUGGAAUUCGUUGUUGAUCGAGGCAUCGAUUUGUGGCUGCUGUUGCAUUGCAUCGAUUUCAAGUGUUGGGACUCCUUCACUUUUUUUCAGGUUUACCUCCGCUUCUUCUAUUAUUUCUAUUGUGAAGUGAAACCUGGAUGGCCCUGGACGGAUUGUUAACUUUUUUUUUCAUUCGUAGUGUUAAUUAUAAAAAAACAUAUAUACAAAUGUUUAAAGUCCUGUGACUCUAUUGUUGCUUGGUUCACUAUCCACCCGCUUCGAAAUACAUGAACUCCGUCCUCAAAGUUAUUGGAAUUCGUUGUUGAUCGAGGCAUCGAUUUGUGGCUGAUGUUGCAUUGCAUCGAUUUCAAGUGUUGGGACUCCUUCACAUUUUUUUCCAGGUUUACCUUUGCUUCUUCUAUUAUUUCUAUUGUGAAGUGAUUCUUGGAUGGCCCUGGACGGAUUAUUAAAAUGAAUUCAGUUGUGAUAAUAGACGAGGCUUGUAUGGUUACCCUCGACUUCAUUUGUUGUUAUGCUUUCAACGUUCUCCAUGAAUUCAUGUGUAGUGAGUCAGUUUCUGAAUAGAUGAGGAGUAAAAUUUGUUUGGUUUCAACAUCGUCUUCGUGUUUGUACUGACUUUGAAGAUUGUUUUAGUAUCAUCGUUCAGCUCAUACCUGCUUCGAAUUUGAUCCCCUACUAAUGUUGCAAAUUGGGUAGAUUGUAGCUUUAUAUAGUGUCA